UGAAACGAUUCUUGCUGUAAAAAUGUUUAGUUUCCCUUACUUGCAUUUUCUGAAUAUUUGAUCCUGGCCUAUUGACUGUAAUCCAAUUUUCAUUCCUGAUGAAAUUUCUCUCAAGAUUAGAGGUGCAAACUGUUGGAGUUCUUGCAGUGAGGGCUCUCGUUACUUCACUAACAGAUGAAGCGGCAACCCUAUUUGGUUGGGCUGGCUAGAGGGGGAAGGGAGUGUUCUCAAUUCUAGGCCCAAAAACAGCUCAUAAAGAGAGUAACAACUGGAGAGGGUGAAGACUGCAUCCCAUUAACGGCUCAUAUGCUCAAUCUUUAGAUAAUCUUUGUGUUUUUAAAUUUUAUUACUUAAAAUACAUACAUA